rnacentral:rRNA from 1 species
AUGACGCCACGCUCCGCCGGGGCUCCUUCACCGUCCGCGGCUCCUUCAGGCUCUGCACCUUGCCGACUCCCCCUUCGUCACGGCCUCUCGUCCAUGCUAGAGGCAGCCACGUCCUCGAUGGUUGCUGCUGGAUUCUACCCCUCCAAGUUGCUCGGACGCCUCCCCAACUCUCCAUCCUCCCCAACAAGGUCGCUGCCAUCACCAAAAGCUAGGAUGAAGGCCAGGAAGCCCUACACCAUCACGCCCGGGAGAUCUGGACCGAGCCCGAGCACGACAAGUUCCUCGAGGCGCUGCAGCUGUGAGUCGCCCCCUGCCCCCCAAUCCCCGCCCUACUCUUCGGUAACUGAUGGUGUCGAUAAAAGCAACAUCGGCCACUUGUGGUGGUCCGAAGGCCUCCGGGCGCCGCAGCACCACGCUGUCCUGACGCCGACCCAGUCGCAAACGGCGGCCAUCUCUGGGAACCAGGCUCCCAAAACCGAGUCAAACUCCGACAGCGAGUCAUUGGUCGAGACAGGGGGCGGCCGAUGCAAGCGAAGCGGCGAAUCAUCAGAUACCAGGUUUAUAAGAAGCAUAUCGCCUUGGUCAAAUUCGGCCGCCCUCCUCGAUUCCAUUUACCCGCUGCGGCGCCCGACUACUCCACCCACGUAUGAUGAUGGCGUGCCUGGUCAAAUCAAUUAUUUUUUCUGGGUAUAA